AUGAACAAGAGGCCCAGUUCCUAUGAAACCUCUCCAAUGAGGUGGUCAGGAAAGAGUGGGCAUAAUCACUCAGCCUUAGCCAGCCCAGGGACCCCCGAAGGCCCAGCCAAACCAACACCCCCAUCUGUCUAUCCCCUGGCUCCUGGAGCUACUGUCACAACCAACUCCAUGGUGACCCUGGGAUGCCUGGUCAAAGGCUUUUUCCCUGAGCCAGUGACUGUGACCUGGAACUCUGGAGCCCUGUCCAGCGGUGUGCACACCUACCCAGCUGCCCUGCAGUCUGGACUCUACACUCUCAGCAGUACCGUGACUGUACCCUCCAGCACCUGGCCCAGCCAGACUGUCACCUGCAAUGUAGACCACCCGGCCAGCAGCACCAAGGUGGACAAGACCAUUGUGCCCAGGGACCCCAAAGGUGGUUGCAAGCCCUGCAAGUGUGCAGUUCCAGAAGUAUCAUCUGUAUUCCUCUUCCCCCCAAAUCCCAAGGAUGUGCUCACCAUCACUCUGACUCCUAAGGUCACAUGUGUUGUGGUAGACAUUAGCCAGGAUGAUCCUGAGGUCCAGUUCAGUUGGUUUGUAGAUGACAUGGAAGUGCACACGGCUCAGACUCAACAACGGGAGGACCAGUUCAACAGCACUUUCCGCUCAGUCAGUCAACUCCAAAUCCAGCACCAGGACUGGCUCAGUGGCAAGGAGUUCACAUGCAAGGUCAACAGUGAGGCUUUCCCUGCCCCCAUCGAGAAAACCAUCUCCAAAGACAAAGGCAGACCACGGGCUCCUCAGGUGUACACCAUGCCACCUCCCAGGGAGCAGAUGACACAGAAUGUAGUCAGUCUGACCUGCAUGGUAUUGGGCUUCUUCCCUGAAGACAUUGCUGUGGAGUGGCAGAGGAACGGGCAGCCAGAGGAGAACUACAAGAACACUGAGCCCACUGUGGACACGGAUGGUUCUUACUUCCUCUACAGCAAGCUCGAUGUGAAGAAGAACAUUUGGGAGAGGGGAGAUACCUUCACCUGCUCUGUGUUACAUGAGGCCCUGCACAACCACCACACUGAGAAGAGCCUCACCCAAUCUCCUGGUAAAUGACCCCAGUGUCCUGUGAGCACUCUGGUCCUGAGGGACUCUGACACCUACCUCCACCCUUUCCUCAUGUAAAUAAAGCAUCCAGCAUGGCCUAGGA